UACGUAGGGUGCGAGCGUUAAUCGGAAUUACUGGGCGUAAAGCGUGCGCAGGCGGUUAUUUAAGUCAGGUGUGAAAGCCCUGGGCUUAACCUAGGAAUUGCGCUUGAGACUGGAUAGCUUGGAGUGCGGCAGAGGGAGGUGGAAUUCCACGUGUAGCAGUGAAAUGCGUAGAGAUGUGGAGGAACACCGAGUGGCGAAGGACAGCCUCCUGGGCCAGCACUGACGCUCGAUGCACGAAAGCGUGGGGAGCAAACAGG
rnacentral:rRNA from 1 species